rnacentral:rRNA from 1 species
UACGUAGGGGGCAAGCGUUGUCCGGAAUCAUUGGGCGUAAAGAGCGUGUAGGCGGCCCGGUAAGUCCGCUGUGAAAGUCCAGGGCUCAACCCUGGGAUGCCGGUGGAUACUGUCGGGCUCGAGUCCGGAAGAGGAGUGUGGAAUUCCUGGUGUAGCGGUGAAAUGCGUAGAUAUCAAGAGGAACACCUGCGGCGAAGGCGGGUUGCUGGGCCGACACUGACGCUGAUGCGCGAAAGCUAGGGGAGCGAACGGG